GGAUCCUCAUGAUUAAUGAUCAUGAAUAUGAAGAGCAGGAACAUGAUGUGGUCGUCGUCAUUUUCUUCUGUUCUGGCAAUAACGCUCUUCUUACUCCUCCUCUUCUGCAACCAUCUCCUGGUUUCUGCUAAUCCCAAACUUGGACGAAAACUCUCACAGGUUCCCGAUCCGGCUGGAUCGUACAAGGUUUACCCAGGUGGAGGAGGAUACCCAAGUCCGUAGCCAUCUAGCAGCAGUCACUAUAUAUGGCGAAUUAUUAAUUAAUAAAGUGAGAUCCCAUUUGUCUUGAAAUGUAAGACUCAUUUUGUAGUGUAAAUUAUACUAUAAAAUGUUUUAUAUUUAGGAUUGGAGGAGUUCCGUAUUAUUAGAUGAAUGUUAGUUUUCAUUAUCUAUAUAUCUUCUUUUACCCCCCCCUCUCUCUCUCUGGGAAAUUCUGUAUUAGGGUAAGAUGCAAAAAGUGAUUGGUACUUGAACACACAGAAAUACUUUUAAAAACCACUUUUCUGUAAAUCAA